rnacentral:rRNA from 1 species
UCAAGAAACUUCCACAAUGGGCGAAAGCCUGAUGGAGCGACGUCGCGUGAUGGACGAAGUGCUUCGGCACGUAAACAUCUUUUAUGUGGGAUGAAAUUAUUGACAGUACCACAUGAAUAAGGGGCUCCUAACUCUGUGCCAGCAGGAGCGGUAAUACAGAGGCCCCAAGCGUUAUCCGGAAUCACUGGGCGUAAAGGGUGUCGAGGCGGUUGUAUUAGUCGUUCGUAAAAUCUACGAGCUUAACUUGUAGGCGGCGAACGAAACGGUACGACUUGAGGUUUGGAGAGGUGCGUGGAACUCACGGUGUAGGGGUGAAAUCCGUUGAUAUCGUGGGGAACACCAAAGGCGAAGGCAGCGCACUGCCCAAAAUCUGACGCUCACACACGAAAGCUAGGGUAGCGAAGAGGAUUAGAUACCCCCGUAGUCCCUGAGCGGGCUGGCAAGGCGCAU